GCUGGGCGUGGUGGCUCAUGCCUGUAAUCCUAGCACUUUGGGAGGCUGAGAUGGGUGGAUCAUCUGAGGUCGGGAGUUCGAGACCAGCCUGACCAACAAGGUGAAACCCCGUCUCUA
rnacentral:SRP_RNA from 1 species